GCGUAGAAUACAGAAUGUUCACAUGAAUGUCAAAUGGGAGAGUCAGCAUAGGGACCAUGGUGCUCACAUCUGGGCUUGCACCCCUGCCCGCCAGCUCGCUGGUGGUUCUGUCAGUGGGUGCUGGGCAGGACAACGUGGGUAUUUUUAUUCCGUUGUCUCCAGCAAACCAUGGGUGCAGCAAUGAUCUCAGAUUCAGGCUGGCUACCAACGGCUCCAAUUUCAAUCAGCACAACCCUAAGACUCCUGUGAAGCAGUGUGGGGAUUCUCCAUCAGGAAACCACUCCCAGCAUUCACAAAGGACACUCAGAGCACCAGAGUACCCACCAGGGACAGUUUCUUGCCUUUUACAAUACCCAGGAAGUGCUCUUCGUCGCGAAUCCCGAAGUUGGACUCUGUUGUGCUGACAUAUUUUCUCUUGGGAGCUGCCGGGCUAGUUCAGGCAUCUGCAAUGCUUGAACAGACAAUUUCAGGCUGGAGAAUUUAAGAGACAACGAAAUAGAGUUUUAAAUGCCUUGUAAGAUAACAAUGAAAGACAUUUAUGAAGAAAAAAAAAACAACAAAAAAGAAAAUUCUAGUUAGUUUGAAAGCUGGGGCCCUCACUCUGUGUUUUGACGGCAGAUGGAUGGCCAGUUCAACUAACCCUGAUUUACUUUCUGACUUGGAUUUGUCUCACUGGUCUACGGGGAUCGGGAGGGCUCCCCCCAAUCUGUUAAUGUUCAGAACCAAUGUUUGAGUUUUAGACUAAUUAUGGGCCUACCACUGACAUUUUUUCUAUAAUGUGAAGACUGCUGCCACCAGUAACUCAGUGAGAUUUAACAUAAAAGCAAGAUAAAACAAUUAAAGUAGAAGAAUAUUUGAUUAAGUGGAUUGCUGAUUUAUAGUUAGGUAAAUUGAAAUUGAAAGGAGAGUGAACUUUUUAUGGCAAUCAUAUAUUAUGUGCAUUAUCAGAGACUCUGUCUCCUUUGUGCUUUUGUGACUUAAAAAGAAAUAAACCAGUUUAAGGAGAGUGAUCCUGGCAGGCAUCAUUUUCAUCUUCUCUUGAGUUAUAGUUUCUUUUCAUUGCAAAGGUUAAAUAAAUCCUAUGCAAGAAAACUCAUUGCAGAACAUGCAAUCAACAUUUGAACAGGCAGAAAGGUGUACUAACAAGGCCGCA
rnacentral:lncRNA from 1 species